GCAGUCGAACGGUAGCACAGAAGAGCUUGCUCUUCGGGUGACGAGUGGCGGACGGGUGAGUAAUGUCUGGGGAUCUGCCCGAUAGAGGGGGAUAACCACUGGAAACGGUGGCUAAUACCGCAUAACGUCGCAAGACCAAAGAGGGGGACCUUCGGGCCUCUCACUAUCGGAUGAACCCAGAUGGGAUUAGCUAGUAGGUGGGGUAACGGCUCACCUAGGCGACGAUCCCUAGCUGGUCUGAGAGGAUGACCAGCCACACUGGAACUGAGACACGGUCCAGACUCCUACGGGAGGCAGCAGUGGGGAAUAUUGCACAAUGGGCGCAAGCCUGAUGCAGCCAUGCCGCGUGUAUGAAGAAGGCCUUCGGGUUGUAAAGUACUUUCAGCGGGGAGGAAGGGAGCGAGGUUAAUAACCUCGUUCAUUGACGUUACCCGCAGAAGAAGCACCGGCUAACUCCGUGCCAGCAGCCGCGGUAAUACGGAGGGUGCAAGCGUUAAUCGGAAUUACUGGGCGUAAAGCGCACGCAGGCGGUCUGCUAAGUCAGAUGUGAAAUCCCCGGGCUUAACCUGGGAACUGCAUUUGAAACUGGCAGGCUAGAGUCUUGUAGAGGGGGGUAGAAUUCCAGGUGUAGCGGGUGAAUGCGUAGAGAUCUGGAGGAAUACCGGUGGCGAAGGCGGCCCCCUGGACAAAGACUGACGCUCAGGUGCGAAAGC
rnacentral:rRNA from 1 species